rnacentral:rRNA from 1 species
UACGUAGGGCGCAAGCGUUGUCCGGAAUUAUUGGGCGUAAAGAGCUCGUAGGCGGUGUGUCGCGUCGGCCGUGAAAACCUGCAGCUUAACUGUGGGCGUGCGGUCGAUACGGGCAUCACUGGAGUUCGGCAGGGGAGACUGGAAUUCCUGGUGUAGCGGUGAAAUGCGCAGAUAUCAGGAGGAACACCCAUUGCGAAGGCAGCUCGCUGGGACGUUACUGACGCU